UCUCCGUAGGUGAACCUGCGGAAGGAUCAUUAUUGUAUAACCGAGGCCCGAGGGCUGUUGCUGAUCCCAAUGGUCGCGCACGCCCGAGUGCCCUCACACACAUCCACCUCACCCCCAUGUGCACCACCGCGAGGGUCCCCCUCUGUCUUUAUCGGAGGGGGGCUUACGUUUUUACACAAACUUUGUAUGCAGUGGAGCAUGUAUUUUUUGCUUUUGCGAACACGCAAUCAAUACAACUUACAACACCGGUUCACUUGGCUCUCGUCUCGAUGAAGAACA
rnacentral:misc_RNA from 1 species